CAACACUGGGACAGGAGAUAAAAGAAACAUGCUAACAAUGCUCCACUUGAAAACAGGCAUGGUAAUACCAGCAUGUUAUUGUGGCAGAACUGAGGGGGUAAUCUAAAUUUAGGGAUGCAUGUGAGUUCUGAGGCAUGAUGUCACGGAAAUGCUUUCCAGGCCCUGAAAGAGGAAGGUGCUGUGAGAAUUUCCUUUCUAUUGUUCCAGGUGCUCCAUGUGCUUAGGGGGACACUGACUUUGGAAGGACUUAUCAGCACAUCCCAUCCCCUCUGAGAGAUGGAGGAGCGAGAAACAGCGGAGGUGCAUGCACACUCAAAAAUAUACAAAAUAGAACAAAGAACAAGUUGAUUUAAUUUGCGCUGUGAAACUAUAAUUCAGACUGGAUACAACAGGUGAAUGGGACACAUAGGUCACUGGAGAUAUAGUACACUCUGAUGUCCUGGGCAAUCUCUACAGCCUGUUUUUGCAUUUUGAUACCACUUCACUGUUUUCAAAUCCCAAUUUGAAAUAGUAUUUGGUAGUUUUGAAGAUUCCUUCGUGGAGAUAUUUUCAAGUUCUUCAGAAAGUAAACAAUAAUGAUAUCGUGAUUGAAAUUCCCAGUGCUUUCAUCUGACCCACCACAAGAUUAGCAGGACUGUCUACUUUGGCCUCUGGAAAUACACAAUGAACAUAUGAGGGUAGACUGAUGAAAUGAAGUGUUAUGGUCACAUUCCUUUGCAGUACAGCUGUUUUUGGAGAUGGUCAUUUGGUGAUAUAAGCUUCAUAAGGUAGCUGAAUACUUUAGUGCAAAGAUUUUAAAUAUGCUAAACUGUCAAUAAUGUAAUAUAUGUGCUGCCUGAAUUAUUACGAUCAUUGUCAAUGAGUCAACUUUAAAGAUCAUCCACUAGUGAGGACAAGGUAUUGUUCAGUGCAAGUUUUUUAACCAAAACUGGAACACUGUAAAAUGAAUUCAGUAAAGUAAAGGAAAACUAAUCCAUCAGGUAUCAAAACAGGGCUAUAAGAAGGGGACAGAAUCUUUAGCAGAGCCUGCUGUGAUAGGAGAAAGUAAUGUGGUUUCAAGGUAAAAGAGGAGAGACUGGAUAUAAAGUUUUUAUGCUGAGGUGAUGAGACACUGGAACAGGUUGCCCAGACAGGUAGUAGAUACCCCAUGCUUGAAGACAUUCAAGGUCAGGCUGAAUGGGGCUCUGAGCAACCUGAUCUAACGGUAGUUGUCCCUGUUCAUUGCAGAAGAGAUGGACUAGAUGAUCUUUAAGGGUCUCUUCCAACUGAACUCUAACUCAAAUGAUUCUAUGAUUCUAAAACUAACUAUAAUAAACUUCCAAGUAAUUGAAACAAGAACAAAAGCUAAACAGAAAUAUUUGGUAUAUCUUCAGGAAACAAGGGUGCUAAAUUGGAAUCAAAUAACCAAAAGAUGCUUAUCACUUAGCAGUAUGCACCAUGCACAACCACAUGCUGAGGCAGGCAUGCAAAAAAAAAGGUCACAAAAAUAAUUGCUUCUUUAGAUACUUGCAAAGAAAAUAAGUUUCUUGGAACAACAUAAUCUGUCAGAGUAAUGCAGAAAAUGUCAUUUAUACUAUUAUGGAUGAAGCAUGUGAUAAAAUUACAGGGAAAACAAUGGAGUAGAAUAUUGUGGAAGGUGAAUAUUUUCUUCACCAUUGGAUCCAGUUAGAGAAGUGUACUCCAAGCAAAAGUAGUGUCCAGACACUGUCACUGAAAUACCAUCUGUGUCAGUGAAAAUUUCAAACUCUCAAAAGGCAAGGAAAUAGUUAUAAAAAUAAAAUUAGAGGUUUGUGCUAAAAUAUAAUCUUCUCUCCUACCAAUAACAUGGAAAUAUGAAUAUGAACACCAGAAAUAUCCCUCAGAACAAAGUUCAAGUAUACUAAAUAAAUUAUCAAACAUCUGUAGAUGACUUUAUCCAUGAAACUGGACAAAAGAAAUUCAGUAGCAUUUUACAUCAGAAAGGGUAUCUUGGGCUUCAGAGUCAGUAAAAGAAUAGAGGUGACAGUCAGAAUGAAUAUGUCACAACAUUUAUUUAAAAACAAGUCUCUCCCUGUAGGUCUUAAAGCUUUAUAAAUGAAACUUAAAAUCCUGACAGAAAUUCAAAUUCAUUCAUAGGAAUUAAAAAAGAAUAAAAAGCAAUUUGGAUAAAGGAUUUUGUUAAUGCUCAAACAAAUACUGUCCAUACUUGGCUGCAUAACACUUAUCCACUGAUAAAUAAGAUCAGAAAGUCUGUUCUGUGGUGGAAAAAUUGUUUAACAGUACUUCUGGAAUGUUGGCAUACAUGCAGGCUAGAUAGAAAAUAAAAAAUAUUCUCAAGCUCUGUACUUUGUCAGAUAAAAUUAGAAAGUUGAUUUUUAUCCUAUAUGCAGUAGAGUUGAAGACUGUGAUAUAUUCUUUUCUCAGACUGGGCCAUUGUUGCAGUCAAGAUACUAAAAUAUUGGACUUCUGAUCUAGAAAAUCCUAUCCAUGCCAAUGGCUAAAACUCCACUGAUAGCUAUUGUAAAGUUACGAGGACCUCGGAUACUCUCUUUUACACUAUGUAAAACAGAAAUCUUGGAAGAUAAUUUAUAUUAAUAUAAUUAUUAGGAAUUAAAGGCGGAUUUGUAUGAAACUACUCAAUGUUGGGGACAAAUACUGAUCAGAGAAACAAGAAAGUGAUUGUAGAUGCUUCAUGAAGAAGCUUAGCAAGAAUUCCCAUUGUCUUAUAGAUCCACUGUGUACAGUGGAAUAAUUGAAUGAAUAUUUCAUUCGUUUUUUAGAGCGACAUCAACAGUAACAAUGUAAAACAUUGCGUAAAUGAAUAAAAAUCAGUCUUACUUUUUAAAAGCAAAGCAAGAGCAUUAACUCAUCUCCAAUACGAUGUUCAAGUGACUACAAAAAUAUAUUAACUGAUAUAUUUUGAAAAGUGUAUGUAAUUCAGGAAAUGCAUGCCUGUGGGUGUAGCUUUUAAUUAUAUGAUCAAUAUAAAAUGCCAAGUUAAGUAUCUACUUUAAAAUCGUGUAUAUAUUUAUAUAAACCUAAAAUUAUUCAAUAUUGCCAAUAAGUAAUAUGAUUUUUUUUCAUUAAUUGCUAUAAUUGAAAUAGUCCAUAUAUUGUGCCUAAGAAUAUAAUGAAUGGGAAACAGAUUUUAAACUCGGAAAUAGAAUUUCAUGUUUGGUAUAAACAUUGAAUAUAUUUUACAAAAUAGCCAGUACAUUUAUGUGAAGAAAUUUUCCUUUUUUUUUUUUUUUUUGUUCUCUUUCACAAAUAGCACAGAACUAAGCAUACUGGGCCUUUACCUUGCUUCUCAGAAAUGUGGUCUGAAUUUUUCAACACUGUUUCUCACAGAGUGUGAAUUGACUAAAUCUGGUUAUGAAGGCAAUACUUUUUCUUAACUUUCACAAAUGUAAGUCAUGCUUUUCCAUAACAAUCGUUCACAACAUUUAACUUUUCAUAUAACAAAUGACUUAGUAAAUCAAAAAGCAUCUGUUUCACAGUGGAGUCACUGCUAGACUUUUGGAGAUCCAAAGUUGAGGAGCUACUCUCUUCUUAGAAAUCAAAUGAUAUCAGCACCUCUAUAAUUUGUUUUUGCUUUCUGGGGACUUGAACUGUUUCUCUUUUUGUUUACCUGUAAUGGCAACUGAACACCCAAUAACAACAGAAUAUUUAUUAUUCUAUGUUUAUUCUGUGAUUUCUCAACACAGCUCUGUCAUAGCAUAGUGAAGUAGCACACAGCAAAUACUGGGAAGAAAGAGUAGCCAGUUGUGUAUUUUAUCUUCUGAAAUUCAACUCACUACAGACACCCCUGUCUGUCUCCACUUCCCUUCAUGGUCAUUCCAGUUUUCUUCUGUCUGGAAAGAUAAAAACUGGAGAGCAAUCUUCCCCAAAAUGCCCUUCUCACAGCAGGUCUGCUCUGCCUUAGUAGAGUGCCAAAUAGCCCAGGAAGCUGCCUGGAGAAACAGCUCUGACACUUGUCAAAGCUGCUUUCAGGCAUCAAGAGAACUCCAAGAGAAAAAAACUUGAGGAGCUCCACAGAUCUCUUCACAUUGUAUAUUAUUAAUGAUACAGCUGCACAAAGCCAAAGACUAGGUGAAUCACAUCUGGUACAGGAUGUUAUUUUGUAAAUUAAAGCAAAACUGAAGGUCUCAGGAAGGUUUUUUAAUAUUUCUCACAAUCUGAGGCUAGAUGAUCAGUCCAUCUAUUCAUAACUAGCUGUCUUUAAAAAACCCAGAGGUGAUAUAUUUUUCUCUCUUUUAAUGCAACCACGACUCUCUCCAUGUCAUUCUUUGAGAAAAGGCCAAACCAAUAUUCCCCCUUUAAAAUACCCAGGUUAUUCAUUUUCUCUCCACAAAUAACUGUGUCCUCCCUCUCCCCAUUUUGAGAGCAUGUAUACAUCCUUAGGGUAUCCUAGCUAUAACUGUACCAGAACAUACCAAGAGAAGAGCAAAGGUACAAAGUAGAGAUAAGGAAACACAGACUUUUCAGAUGAGUACCAGUGGAGAUCUUCUUGUUCAAAUAAUGACAAAACAAAGCUUGUAAUGCUUAUGAUGUACCUUCGUAUUUCAUCCCUGAUUUUAUAAAUAUCAUUGCUUUUCAUUUCUAGGAUUAUGUUGUUCUAUCUUAUUCUGUUGUGUUGGAUGAUUUCCAUUAUGAUUUCAGAAGGAACUGUGACAAUUAAAUAAAGUCUGGGCAAACUGAAUUGAUCUAACAUGAUAAAACAGUACUCAGUCAUGGUCAGUUGCUUUAGCUACAAAUCUGCCUAAGAUCUUUGUAUAUUAGAACAGAUAAGCAUGGAGAUGUGGAAAGGGGGAAGAUAAAGCACAGAGGUGAUUGCUCAGCUAAGAUAUUUGAUACACUAAGAGCAACAAUAAUUCACUUCUAGAAGCAUUUUGGGGUUAAGGUUUACUAUUUGCAGGGAUAAAAAAAGCAAUGAGCUAUUAACAAUAAGUUCCUUUCUCUUGCAUUUCAGACACACGCACACAAAAAAGCAUGGAAUAUUUUAGCAAUUUCUACAGGCUUCAUUUGACUCUACUUUUAACAUAACCUUAUUUUUAAUUCAUGCAUAGUAGACAGAAAAUUAAAAGCUUUAAUAAGACAGCCAUUAGAUCUUAUGCUUUAUUAAAACUAUUCGCACAAUCUUUUUUGCACUUGUGAAAUCUUUCAACAACACAAAUCACACUUCCAAUGCAUAAAGAAGCAGAAAUUCUCAGGAAAACAGAAGAAUAUUAGGAGUUCAAUGAUGUAGGAAAGUACCUGGAUAAA